rnacentral:rRNA from 1 species
UACGUAGGGAGCAAGCGUUGUCCGGAAUCAUUGGGCGUAAAGCGCGCGUAGGCGGCCCGAUAAGUCCGUUGUGAAAGUCAAAGGCUCAACCUUUGAAUGCCGAUGGAUACUGUCGGGCUAGAGUCCGGAAGAGGCGAGUGGAAUUCCUGGUGUAGCGGUGAAAUGCGCAGAUAUCAGGAGGAACACCGGUGGCGAAGGCGGGUCUCUGGGCCGAUACUGACGCUGAGGAGCGAAAGCGUGGGGAGCGAACAGG